rnacentral:rRNA from 1 species
GAUGAACGGCUGGCGGCGUGCCUCAAACAUGCAAGUCGAGCGGGGCUAUGUAAUAUCGCAAGGUAGAACAUAGCCUAGCGGCGAACGGGUGAGUAACACGUGGGUAACCUGCCUGGAAGACAGGGAUAACGAUUCGAAAGGGUCGCUAAUACCUGAUAAUAUCCUUUCAUCGCAUGGUGAUAGGAAGAAAGGGGAAACCCGCUUUCAGAUGGGCCCGCGUCCCAUCAGCUAGUUGGUAAGGUAAAGGCUUACCAAGGCGACGACGGGUAGCCGGUCUGAGAGGAUGUACGGCCACACUGGGACUGAGAUACGGCCCAGACUCCUACGGGAGGCAGCAGUUGGGAAUCUUAGGCAAUGGACGAAAGUCUGACCUAGCGACGCCGCGUGAGGGAAGAAGGCCUUCGGGUUGUAAACCUCUGUCAUGGGGGAAGAAGGAAGUGACGGUACCCCAAGAGGAAGCCCCUGCUAACUACGUG